CGUUAGCGGCGGACGGGUGAGUAACACGUGGGUAACCUACCUAUAAGACUGGGAUAACUUCGGGAAACCGGAGCUAAUACCGGAUAAUAUUUCGAACCGCAUGGUUCGAUAGUGAAAGAUGGUUUUGCUAUCACUUAUAGAUGGACCUGCGCCGUAUUAGCUAGUUGGUAAGGUAACGGCUUACCAAGGCGACGAUACGUAGCCGACCUGAGAGGGUGAUCGGCCACACUGGAACUGAGACACGGUCCAGACUCCUACGGGAGGCAGCAGAU
rnacentral:rRNA from 1 species